GACGAACGCUGGCGGCGUGCCUAAUACAUGCAAGUAGAACGCAGUUGCGAACGGGUGAGUAACGCGUAGGUAACUGCCUGGUAGCGGGGGAUAACUAUUGGAAACGAUAGCUAAUACCGCAUACUACCAGAUGUACCUGCGUUGUAUUAGCUAGUUGGUGAGGUUACGGCUCACCAAGGCAACGAUACAUAGCCGACCUGAGAGGGUGAUCCGGCACACUGGGACGUAGAAACGGCUCAGAAUCCUACGGGAGGCAGCAGUAGGGAAACGUCGGCAAUGGGGGGAAGCCUGACCGAGCAACGCCGCGUGAGUGAAGAAGGUUUUCGGAGAGUAAAGCUAUGUUGUUAAGGAAUCGGUACUUAACCAGAAAGGGACGGCUAACUACGUGCCAGCAGCCGCGGUAAUUC
rnacentral:rRNA from 1 species